CACUAUCACCCAUUUUCAAGCCAUUUUUUAAAAGAUCAGUAGCGAAUAUUUUACAAGUUGUGCAGAAGAUCUUCCCGCAUGCACAGCUUGCACUAAAGGAGGACCGACAGCAAGACCAUUUAAAUCCUAUUUUACAAGAUGAUAUGUUCGACAGUGAUGACGAUGCAUCCUUGGUUUCUGGAGAUGAAUUAAAAGACGGAACGCCUGACGGACCAGAGAAAAAAACGCCUCUGUUUCAGCAGGAGUGCUUUCUGCGAACCAACAUCACGCCGGCCCCGUCUGCUAAUAGUAGGAAAAGAAGGGUACGGCCAGGUUUCUUACGUGGCACCCGCGGUGUUGCAUGCUUUGGAGAAGUUUCCCGUUCACACCCUGGACCUUUCUGUUCUGCUUACAAACAUUGCACCGCCAGAAGAAAUCUGU